rnacentral:rRNA from 1 species
UACGUGGGUGGCGAGCGUUAUUCGGAUUCACUGGGCGUAAAGGGUCCGCAGGGGGCAUGCCACGCCCCGCGUGAAAUGACAGGGCUCAACCCUGUUGCUGCGCGGGGUACGGGCGUGCUGGAGUGCGGGAAGGGCAGAUGGAAUUCCAGGUGUAGCGGUGGAAUGCGUGGAUAUCUGGAAGAACACCGAUGGCGAAGGCGAUCUGCUGGCCCGCGACUGACCCUCAUGGACGAGAGUGUGGGUAGCGAAC